rnacentral:lncRNA from 1 species
GAAUAUCCAUGCACAAUCCAAAUCAUGUUUUUUUUAAUAAAAUCCAAAUAUGAUUCACUACAUCAUUAAUCUCAUAUUUACACCCUCAUGGCUAAAUGAUUGGGGAGACAAAACAAUAAUAAUUAAGACUAAUAACAUUGGUAAACUAUAUAUAUAAGAAACACAAACAACAAUAUAUAUAUAUAUAUAUAUAUAUAUAUAUAUAUAUAUAUAUACAUAUGAAGAAAUUUGGUAAUUGUUUGAAUUUUGGUACUAUGAUUUUCUUUGCAAUUCUUACCUAUUUGAAAUAGGAUUUGGACCACUAGGAACUUCAUGAGCACUAGCAUUGAAAGCCCGCUCUUGCCACAGCGACCGGUUUGCCGGCCCUCCCCGUCGACCUCCAGUGGCCGGAAUAUUUUGGACAUAAGUAGUUUCUUGUUUGUUGAUACUGCCGGAGUCUCUUUGUGGGGUUAGAGGUGGUAAGUUUUGUUCUUGAUGGGCCAUUAUAGUUAGAAGGAAGAAAAUGAAGAAGAAGAAGAGGGGUUUUGAAGGAAAAAUGGGAGAAAUGAAGGUGAAGGUCAUUUUAUUGUAAGUGGCAAUGCCAUUCUCCUUGGCCAUAAAAUUACAUGAGUACAAGAUUCAUCCACUAUAAGGAGAGAGAGACAGAUAGAGAGAGAGAGAAUCUUGAAAGAUAAACCGAGGGAAAUAGCUUGGGUUUGGGAAGGAGAGGUUGGGGUUGUUUUUGAAAUGUAUUGUAAACGUGUGGUUGGUUUUGAAAGUAGGAAAAACAUAACAACAAAUAUGUAUGAGAAAGAGAGGAUAUAUAUAUAUAUAUAUAUAUAUAUAUUGGGGUAUAUAUAGGGAUUCCAUCCACAGCAACCGGUUGCUGUGGAGCAAUCCUUUUUUUGGCUUGUUGUAAUUUUUUAUUUUAUUUUUUUGUUCCGGU